UUUCCGUAGGUGAACCUGCGGAAGGAUCAUUAAUAAGCGAGUGUUUUUAUGGCACUCUUUAAAAAAAUCCAUAUCCACCUUGUGUGCUUUGUUUGAAUUGCUUUGUGGCAUGCCGAAAGGAUUCGUUUUUUUGGCUUCUCAAAAGAAUGUUUAUACAUCAACCAUUUUUUUUAACACCUUUUGUCUGAAAAAUAUUACGAAUUACUUAAUUCAAAGUACAACUUUUAACAACGGAUCUCUUGGCUCUC
rnacentral:misc_RNA from 1 species